rnacentral:rRNA from 1 species
GCCAGACUCCUACGGGAGGCAGCAGUGGGGAAUAUUGCACAAUGGGGGAAACCCUGAUGCAGCAACGCCGCGUGAGUGAAGAAGUAUUUCGGUAUGUAAAGCUCUAUCAGCAGGGAAGAAAAUGACGGUACCUGAGUAAGAAGCCCCGGCUAACUACGUGCCAGCAGCCGCGGUAAUACGUAGGGGGCAAGCGUUAUCCGGAUUUACUGGGUGUAAAGGGGGCGCAGACGGCGAUGCAAGCCAGGAGUGAAGGCCCGGGGCCCAACCCCGGGACUGCUCUUGGAACUGCGUGGCUGGAGUGCAGGAGGGGCAGGCGGAAUUCCUGGUGUAGCGGUGAAAUGCGUAGAUAUCAGGAGGAACACCGGUGGCGAAGGCGGCCUGCUGGACUGCAACUGACGUUGAGGCCCGAAAGCGUGGGGAGCAAACAGGAUUAGAUACCCCGGUACC